GGCCGGUGAUGUGAUAUUGAUAUUUGCUACUUUCCUCCUGAAUGCAUCUGAUGAUUUUGUAUCCACCAAGAUCUCUGAGGCC